GGGCAGGUAGCUCAGUCGGUACGAGCGUCCGCCUGAAAAGCGGAAGGUCGGCGGUUCGACCCCGCCCCUGCCCA
rfam:Frankia sp. ETN1f ctg00402, whole genome shotgun sequence.